GGAGAUAGGGGAAAAACUAUAGCUCAUUGGUAGAGCAUCUGCUUUGCAUGCAUAAAGUCACAGGUUCAAUCCCUGGCCUCUCCA